rnacentral:misc_RNA from 1 species
AGCAGCCGCGGUAAUUCCAGCUCCAAUAGCGUAUAUUAAAGUUGUUGCAGUUAAAAGCUCGUAGUUGAAUUUCGGGGUCAGCAAGUUAGUCGUGCCACUGGUAUGCACUGGCUUUGCUGAUUCCUCCUUCUUGUAGAACCGUAAUGCCAUUUAGUUGGUGUUGCGGGGAAACAGGACUGUUACUUUGAAAAAUUGAGUGUUUAAAGCAGGCUAACGCCUGAAUACAUUAGCAUGGAAUAAUGAAAUAGGACGAGCGAUCCUAUUUUGUUGGUUUCUAGGAUUGACGUAAUGAUUAAUAGGGAUAGUUGGGGGCAUUAGUAUUCAAUUGUCAGAGGUGAAAUUCUUGGAUUUAUUGAAGACUGACUACUGCGAAAGCAUUUGCCAAGGAUGUUUUCAUUAAUCAAGAACGAAAGUUAGGGAUCGAAGACGAUCAGAUACCGUCGUAGUCUUAACCAUAAACUAUGCCGACU